rnacentral:rRNA from 1 species
CCCUUAGAUGUUCCGGGCUGCACGCGCGCUACACUGAUGCACUCAACGAGUUUACGACCUUGCCCGAUAGGGUUGGGUAAUCUUUUUAAAAUGCAUCGUGAUGGGGAUAGAUUAUUGCAAUUAUUAAUCUUCAACGAGGAAUUCCUAGUAAGCGCGAGUCAUCAGCUCGUGCUGAUUACGUCCCUGCCCUUUGUACACACCGCCCGUCGCUCCUACCGAUUGAGUGCUCAGGUGAAUAAUUCGGACUGCAGCAAUGUUUGGAUCCCGAACGUUGCAGCGGAAAGUUUAGUGAACCUUAUCACUUAGAGGAAGGAGAANUCGUAACA